AGUGAACGCUGGCGGUAGGCCUAACACAUGCAAGUCGAACGGCAGCACAGUAAGAGCUUGCUCUUACGGGUGGCGAGUGGCGGACGGGUGAGGAAUACAUCGGAAUCUACUUUUUCGUGGGGGAUAACGUAGGGAAACUUACGCUAAUACCGCAUACGACCUACGGGUGAAAGCAGGGGAUCUUCGGACCUUGCGCGAUUGAAUGAGCCGAUGUCGGAUUAGCUAGUUGGCGGGGCAAAGGCCCACCAAGGCGACGAUCCGUGGCUGGUCUGAGAGGAUGAUCAGCCACACUGGAACUGAGACACGGUCCAGACUCCUACGGGAGGCAGCAGUGGGGAAUAUUGGACAAUGGGCGCAAGCCUGAUCCAGCCAUACCGCGUGGGUGAAGAAGGCCUUCGGGUUGUAAAGCCCUUUUGUUGGGAAAGAAAAGCAGCAGGUUAAUACCCCGCUGUUCUGACGGUACCCAAAGAAUAAGCACCGGCUAACUUCGUG
rnacentral:rRNA from 1 species